AGAUUGAACGCUGGCGGCAGGCCUAACACAUGCAAGUCGAGCGGUAGAGAGGUGCUUGCAUCUCUUGAGAGCGGCGGACGGGUGAGUAAUGCCUAGGAAUCUGCCUAGUGGUGGGGGAUAACGUUCGGAAACGGACGCUAAUACCGCAUACGUCCUACGGGAGAAAGCGGGGGGCCUUCGGGCCUUGCGCUAGUCAGAUGAGCCUAGGUCGGAUUAGCUAGUUGGUGGGUAAUGGCUCACCAAAGGCGACGAUCCGUAAACUGGUACUGAGAGGAUGAUCGAGUCACACUGGAACUGAGACACGGUCCAGACUCGUACGGGAGGCAGCAGUGGGAAUAUGGACAAGUGGGACGAAAGCCUAG
rnacentral:rRNA from 1 species